GGAGGGAUGGCCGAGCGGUUGAAGGCGGCGGUCUUGAAAACCGCUAGGGGCCGAAAGGUCUCUCGGGGGUUCGAAUCCCCCUCCCUCCGCCA
rnacentral:tRNA from 1 species